rnacentral:rRNA from 1 species
UACGUAGGGGGCGAGCGUUGUCCGGAUUUAUUGGGCGUAAAGAGCGUGUAGGCGGCCAGGUAGGUCUGCUGUGAAAACUCGAGGCUCAACCUCGAGACGUCGGCGGAAACCAUCUGGCUAGAGUCCGGAAGAGGAGAGUGGAAUUCCCGGUGUAGCGGUGAAAUGCGCAGAUAUCGGGAAGAACACCCGUGGCGAAGGCGGCACUCUGGGACGGUACUGACGCUGAGACGCGAAAGCGUGGGGAGCGAACAGG